rnacentral:rRNA from 1 species
UACGGAGGAUCCAAGCGUUAUCCGGAAUCAUUGGGUUUAAAGGGUCCGUAGGCGGUUUUGUAAGUCAGUGGUGAAAGCCCAUCGCUCAACGGUGGGACGGCCAUUGAUACUGCAAGACUUGAAUUAUUGGGAAGCAACUAGAAUAUGUAGUGUAGCGGUGAAAUGCUUAGAGAUUACAUGGAAUACCAAUUGCGAAGGCAGGUUGCUACCAAUACAUUGACGCUGAGGUGCGAAAGCGUGGGGAUCAAACAGG